rnacentral:rRNA from 1 species
GGGGAUAACAUUUGGAAACAGAUGCUAAUACCGCAUAACAACAAAAGCUGCAUGGCUUUUGUUUGAAAGAUGGCUUUGGCUAUCACUCUGGGAUGGACCUGCGGUGCAUUAGCUAGUUGGUAAGGUAACGGCUUACCAAGGCGAUGAUGCAUAGCCGAGUUGAGAGACUGAUCGGCCACAAUGGAACUGAGACACGGUCCAUACUCCUACGGGAGGCAGCAGUAGGGAAUCUUCCACAAUGGGCGCAAGCCUGAUGGAGCAACACCGCGUGAGUGAAGAAGGGUUUCGGCUCGUAAAGCUCUGUUGUUGGAGAAGAACGUGCGUGAGAGUAACUGUUCACGCAGUGACGGUAUCCAACCAGAAAGUCACGGCUAACUACGUGCCAGCAGCCGCGGUAAUACGUAGGUGGCAAGCGUUAUCCGGAUUUAUUGGGCGUAAAGCGAGCGCAGGCGGUUGCUUAGGUCUGAUGUGAAAGCCUUCGGCUUAACCGAAGAAGUGCAUCGGAAACCGGGCGACUUGAGUGCAGAAGAGGACAGUGGAACUCCAUGUGUAGCGGUGGAAUGCGUAGAUAUAUGGAAGAACACCAGUGGCGAAGGCGGCUGUCUGGUCUGCAACUGACGCUGAGGCUCGAAAGCAUGGGUAGCGAACAGGAUUAGAUACCCUGGUAGUCCAUGCCGUAAACGAUGAG